rnacentral:rRNA from 1 species
CAGUAGCCGCGGUAAUACGAAGGGGGCUAGCGUUGUUCGGAUUUACUGGGCGUAAAGCGCACGUAGGGGGAUCGAUCAGUCAGGGGUGAAAUCCCAGAGCUCAACUCUGGAACUGCCUUUGAUACUGUCGAUCUGGAGUAUGGAAGAGGUGAGUGGAAUUCCGAGUGUAGAGGUGAAAUUCGUAGAUAUUCGGAGGAACACCAGUGGCGAAGGCGGCUCACUGGUCCAUUACUGACGCUGAGGUGCGAAAGCGUGGGGAGCAAACAGGAUUAGAUACCCCAGUAGUCCCUGUCUCUUAUAC